UGGGGAAUAUUGGACAAUGGGCGAAAGCCUGAUCCAGCCAUGCCGCGUGGAUGAUGAAGGCCUUAGGGUUGUAAAAUCCUUUCACCGGGGACGAUAAUGACGGUACCCGGAGAAGAAGCCCCGGCUAACUUCGUGCCAGCAGCCGCGGUAAUACGAAGGGGGCUAGCGUUGCUCGGAAUUACUGGGCGUAAAGCGCACGUAGGCGGGUCGAUCAGUCAGGGGUGAAAUCCCAGAGCUCAACUCUGGAACUGCCUUUGAUACUGUCGGCCUAGACCAGAGGAGAGGCGAGUGGAAUUCCGAGUGUAGAGGUGAAAUUCGUAGAUAUUCGGAGGAACACCAGUGGCGAAGGCGACUCGCUGGACUCUUGGUGACGCUGAGGUGCGAAAGCGUGGGGAGCAAA
rnacentral:rRNA from 1 species